rnacentral:rRNA from 1 species
AGUGGCGAACGGGUGAGUAACACGUGGGUGAUCUGCCCCGCACUGUGGGAUAAGCCUGGGAAACUGGGUCUAAUACCACAUACGACCAUGGCGUAGGGGUCAUGGUGGAAAGCCUUGUGCGGUGUGGGAUGAGCCCGCGGCCUAUCAGCUUGUUGGUGGGGUAAUGGCCUACCAAGGCGGCGACGGGUAGCCGGCCUGAGAGGGUGGACGGCCACAUUGGGACUGAGACACGGCCCAGACUCCUACGGGAGGCAGCAGUGGGGAAUAUUGCACAAUGGGCGCAAGCCUGAUGCAGCGACGCCGCGUGGGGGAUGAAGGCCUUCGGGUUGUAAACUCCUUUCGCCCGGGACGAAGCCCACCUGGUGGGUGACGGUACCGUGGAGAAAAAGCACCGGCUAACUACGUGCCAGCAGCCGCGGUAAUACGUAGGGUGCAAGCGUUGUCCGGAUUUACUGGGCGUAAAGAGCUCGUAGGUGGUGUGUCGCGUCGUCUGUGAAAUUCCGGGGCUUAACUCCGGGCGUGCAGGCGAUACGGGCACGACUAGAGUGCUGUAGGGGUAACUGGAAUUCCUG